GACGUCACCGUGUUGUUCAGGUCUGUGCUGAGUAUGCAGCCAUCCCAUCAACAGGCCUGUCCUGAAGGGUGGGGGGCUGCCAAGGAGCUGGAUUCUGAGGCAGGACUGAGAAGCCAACCCCACUUCUCUUCCUAGUGUCUCCGGUGACUCUGCAGAAUUCACAUAACCUUGAAGCCAGGGUUGAAAUAUGCCGUCGCAGAGGUUCCUGGACAAAAGAAAUGACUGGCUAACUGGCCGAAGACCUCCUCGGCCCCGUAUGGUUAAGUCAGCUAGACUUUCCUGAAGCGUUUGUGCCCAUGGGCUGGCAGAUGUGAGCUGGGUCGCUCUGAUAACUCCCCCUGAAGCUGCCCCCGCUGUCCUUCCGGCUUCUUGUCUGUCUGCUCGACUCCUGAUGCUUGGAUCUGUGUCUUAUUUAUGCUUCUUAAUUUUUGGACUGUUUUUGCUACUGUAUCUUCCUAGUUUGACUCCUGACCCUUAUAAAAUGGGGUGGGGACCUGCCCUCUGAGCCUUUAUUAAUUUCAAACUUCCUGAGUUAAAUUCCCACCCC
rnacentral:lncRNA from 1 species